UUUUAAAUGGCCGCAGUAUUUUGACUGUGCAAAGGUAGCAUAAUCAUUAGUUUUUUAAUUAAAAGCUUGUAUGAAAGGCUGGACGAGGUAAAAUCUGUCUCUAUUUAAAUUAUAGUAGAAUUUAACUUUUAAGUUAAAAGGCUUAAAUAUUAUUAAAAGACGAGAAGACCCUAUAGAUCUUUAUAGUUUAUUAAAUUAAAUUAAUUUAGAAAUAUUAAUGUUUUAUUUAAUUAAAUUAUUUUAUUGGGGUAAUAAAAAGAUUGAGUUAAUUCUUUUUUACAAUAAACAUUAAUUUAUGAAUAUUAAUGAUCCAGUUUUACUGAUUAUAAGAUUAAGUUACCUUAGGGAUAACAGCGUAAUUUUUUUAGAGAGUUCAUAUCGAUAAAAAAGUUUGCGACCUCGAUGUUGGAUUAAAGAUUAUUUUAGGUGUAGAAGCUUAAUAAUUUUGGUCUGUUCGACCAUUAAAUCUUUACAUGAUCUGAGUUCAGACCGGCGUAAGCCAGGUCGGUUUCUAUCUUUAAUAAAAUAAAAUAUUUUAGUACGAAAGGACCAAAUAUUUGAUAUAUUUAUAUUUAAUUUAUUGAAUAUUA
rnacentral:rRNA from 4 species